rnacentral:rRNA from 1 species
CAAAACUUUCAACAACGGAUCUCUUGGCUCUGGCAUCGAUGAAGAACGCAGCAAAAUGCGAUAAGUAAUGUGAAUUGCAGAAUUCAGUGAAUCAUCGAAUCUUUGAACGCACAUUGCGCCCGCCAGUAUUCUGGCGGGCAUGCCUGUUCGAGCGUCAU